GCCGUGUUGGCGUAGUGGUAGCGCGUCUCACUCGUAUGAAGUCGUAUUGGAGGAUGCGAUGAGAAGGUCACUCGUUCAAUCCGGGUACGCGGCA